rnacentral:rRNA from 1 species
UACGGGGGGGGCAAGCGUUGUUCGGAAUUACUGGGCGUAAAGGGCUCGUAGGCGGCCAACUAAGUCAGACGUGAAAUCCCUCGGCUUAACCGGGGAACUGCGUCUGAUACUGGAUGGCUAGAGGUUGGGAGAGGGAUGCGGAAUUCCAGGUGUAGCGGUGAAAUGCGUAGAUAUCUGGAGGAACACCAAUGGCGAAGGCAGCUCGCUGGAACGGUACUGACGCUGAGGCGCGAAAGCGUGGGGAGCGAACAGG